rnacentral:rRNA from 1 species
ACAUGCAGAGAACUUUCCAGAGAUGAUUGGUGCCUUCGGGAACUCUGACACAGGUGCUGCAUGGCUGUCGUCAGCUCGUGUCGUGAGAUGUUGGGUUAAGUCCGUAACGAGCGCAACCCUUGUCCUUAGUUACCAGCACGUUAUGGUGGGCACUCUAAGGAGACUGCCGGUGACAAACCGGAGGAAGGUGGGGAUGACGUCAAGUCAUCAGGGCCCUUACGGCCUGGGCUACACACGUGCUACAAUGGUCGGUACAAAGGGUUGCCAAGCCGCGAGGUGGAGCUAAUCCCAUAAAACCGAUCGUAGUCCGGAUCGCAGUCUGCAACUCGACUGCGUGAAGUCGGAAUCGCUAGUAAUCGUGAAUCAGAAUGUCACGGUGAAUACGUUCCCGGGCCUU